UUUAUUUUCAAAGAUUUUCCAUUUUAAUUUAAUAAACUGACAGCCUGGAAAUGUAUUUAAUUAUUUAAAUGCAAAUUAAUAAUUCGUACAGUGAUAAACCGAAUCAAAAACCAUUUGAAAAAUCAAAAAUCAAACGAAAAACCAAGAUUUGAGCUGAAUCGAAUCAGAAUUGAAUCGAACCAGUCCAAACCUUCUAGAAGCCCUCUUUCUUUUUAUCUCCACGCUUAUCCCAUUCCCUCUCCCUCACCAUUUCUACAACACCUCCAGCGGCACCAUUACGCCACCACUUCCUCCUCUCUUUUUCCUUUUCUUUUUCUUUUCUUUUCCCUGUGACUGCGUCUGCAUCACGUCCCAGCAGCUCCAGCAGAAACGCAAGCCACCAGCACGAGCUCAGCCGCGUCGCGCCACCUCGCCGCUGCUCCACACUGCAGUAGCUCCGCCAUUGCCGACGCCUCUCUCCGUUCAAGCCAAGCAGGGACAGAAGGUUGCUCCUCCCCUGAUCUGUCCAAGUUUAUAAAACUCCAAAAUG